CGAUAGCGUAUAUUUAAGUUGUUGCAGUUAAAAAGCUCGUAGUCGGAUUUUGGCUGAGAACGAUCGGUCCGCCGUUAGGUGUGCACUGAUUGGUCUCAGCUUCCUGGUGAGGAGGUGUGCUUCACGGCCACUUAGUCACCGUGGUUACUUUGAAAAAAUUAGAGUGUUCAAAGCGGGCUUACGCUUGAAUAUAUUAGCAUGGAAUAACACCAUAGGACUCCUGUCCUAUUUCGUUGGUCUCGGGACGGGAGUAAUGAUUAAGAGGAACAGUUGGGGGCAUUCGUAUUUCAUUGUCAGAGGUGAAAUUCUUGGAUUUAUGAAAGACGAACUUCUGCGAAAGCAUUUGCCAAGGAUGUUUUCAUUAA
rnacentral:rRNA from 1 species